CCCCCCUUUUAAGGGGCGUGGGCGGGGUUUGUGCCGUUGCCGUGGCGACGGCCCCGCCCUGGCGCGCCGAGCCCGCGGCCCACGCCCGGCGGGAGGGGCGGGGCCUGGCGGGUGACGUCACGGGGUCCCCUAUAGGGGGCCUAUGGGGGGCGGUAUAGGGGACCCCAUGGCGGCCAUGGGUGGCUUAGGGGGGCCCCAUAGGGGUCUCUAUAGGGACCCUAUGGGGUCUCUAUAGGGUCUCUAUAGGGACCCUAUGGGGACCCUAUGGGGGGUCUAUAGGGGUCUCUAUAGGGUCCCUAUAGGGGUCUCUAUAGGGACCCUAUGGGGGGUCUAUAGGGGUCUCUAUAGGGACCCUAUGGGGGGUCUAUAGGGGUCCGUAUGGGGUCCGUAUGGGGGGUCUAUAGGGGUCUCUAUAGAGUCCCUAUAAGGGUCUCUAUAGGGUCCGUAUAGGGGUCUCUAUAGGGAUCAUAUAGGGGUCUCUAUAGGGGCUCUAUAGGGGUCUCUAUAUGGACCCUGUGCUAACUGCAUAGGGGAUGCUAUAGGGGCCAUACAGGCACCCUAUAGGGGUCUCUGUAGGGACCCUAUGUGGGCUGUAUAGGGGCUGCUAUAGGGACCCUAUGGGUGCUAUAAGGGGGGUUGCUAUAUGGGCUCUAUAGGGUUUCUUUGUUAACUGUAUGGUGGUUCUAUAGGGAGCCAUGUAGGGGUCCAUAUAGGAGCCAAUAUAGAGAGCCAUAUAGGGGUCAAUAUAGGGACCCAUAUAGGCACACAUAUAGGAACCAAUCUAGGGGCUCAUAUAGGGACUCAUAUAAAAGCCAAUGUAGGGACACAUAUAAGAACCCAUAUAGGGGCCCAUACAGGGAUGCAUAUAGGAGCCUGUAUAGGGACCCAUAUAGGACCUCAUAUAUGGACGCAUAUAGAAAACAUAUAGGGAUGCAUAUAGGAGUCCAUAUAAGAGCCAAUAUAGGGACACAUAUAGGGACCCAUAUAGGGACUCAUAUAGGGACACAUUUAGGAGCCUGUAUAGGGGCCCUUAUAAAGAUGCAUAUAGAAGCCCAUAUAAGAGUCCAUAUAGGGACCCAUAUAGGAGCCCAUAUAGAAACCCAUACAGGGACACAUAUAGGAACCCAUAUAGGAACCCAUAUAAAAACCCCUAUAGGAGCCCAUAUAAGAGCCAAUAUAGGGAUGCAUAUAGGGACACAUUUAGGAGCCUGUAUAGGGGCCCAUAUAGAGACCCAUAUAGGAACCCAUAUAGAGACCGAUAUAGGGACACACUUAGGAGCCUGUAUAGGCGCCCAUAUAGGGUCACAUAUAGCAGCCCAUAUAGGGACCCAUAUAGGGACACAUAUGGGGACACAUUUAGGAGUCCAUAUAGGAACCCAUAUAGAACCCCAUAUAGUACCCCAUAUAGCACCCCAUAUAGGGGCCCACGUGGGGGCUCCCUCGCCUCCAUAGGGUCC
rnacentral:lncRNA from 1 species